rnacentral:rRNA from 1 species
AUUGAACGCUGGCGGCAUGCCUUACACAUGCAAGUCGAACGGUAACGGGUCUUCGGAUGCUGACGAGUGGCGAACGGGUGAGUAAUACAUCGGAACGUGCCUAGUAGUGGGGGAUAACUACUCGAAAGAGUGGCUAAUACCGCAUGAGAUCUACGGAUGAAAGCAGGGGAUCGCAAGACCUUGUGCUACUAGAGCGGCCGAUGGCAGAUUAGGUAGUUGGUGGGAUAAAAGCUUACCAAGCCGACGAUCUGUAGCUGGUCUGAGAGGACGAUCAGCCACACUGGGACUGAGACACGGCCCAGACUCCUACGGGAGGCAGCAGUGGGGAAUUUUGGACAAUGGGCGCAAGCCUGAUCCAGCAAUGCCACGUGCAGGAUGAAGGCCUUCGGGUUGUAAACUGCUUUUGUACGGAACGAAAAGCCCUGGGUUAAUACCCUGGGGUCAUGACGGUACCGUAAGAAUAAGCACCGGCUAACUACGUGCCAGCCGCCGCCGUAAGAC